UGAACAGUCAAAUACGGAGAGCGAACAAAAUGCAAAAAGCUGUUUUGGUGAUGUGGUGAUGCAUCAAAACGAAUGAAAGAGUAGCAAGAAAAACAUUUUUCAAUUUAUUAAUGAUCAGUAACAAUAGAUAACUUAGUCUGCUGUUUCGAAGGACGUUGCCGUCCUAGGAAGUUUUCCAGUGAAUCACCACAACUUUACACUCGGAUUCUGCCGUGCCGCCGUUUACCGAUGGGUGGAAUAGAGAUUUGGCGGGUGUUAUUGCAUACAUCAUUGCCUGAUACUUUCGGACGGAAAAUUGUUUUAGUAAUAGCGGCUAUCAACACAGCAACUACCAACACAAACGACGUGAAACAGGUUUUACCGUGGAAGCUUCUUAAACAUUCAAGAUGGGGCUGAAACAAAAUUUCUUUAUCGCGGCGCAGCACAUAGGGGUAUUUGAGUGAAAAAGUUGGAAUAAAUUGCAAAACUCAAAA